GAAUAUGAAGCGAUAAAUUGCAAUUAGUUUCGACCUAAUUUUAGAUGUUUAUACCAUCCUUAUUCU
rnacentral:tRNA from 1 species